GCUCGCGGAUUCGCGCCGGCACGGAGAGCGAGUCGAGCGCCAGCAGCGUAGCACGCGCCUCCUCCACGUAGCCGGGGUCCGGGCCAGUUACCAGGCCGACGAUGAGCAGGAAGUGCCGCGCGCCCUCUGGCGGCGAGUAUCCCGUGGCGACGGCAGUACGUGGUUUCCGUGGGAACAGCUCGCGCCACACAACGAGCUGCCCGGCCCUGGGGCUCCGCGCCAGCAGCAGCAGCCCAUGCAGGCGGCAGUAGAGCGUGACGGCAGUGAGCUCCUCCCUCGGUAGGUGGUUCGCGACGAGGCAGCCCUACUUGCGGCAAAGGCACGCACGUCGCACACACACAGACCUUAACCACAAGCACAUGGCACCCACAGUGGCAUAGCUGUAGAAUAUGCAGGUGGUGCAACUGCGCCGAGAACUAUGGGUCAGAUGGGGCCCAGGUACUGGGCUAUGAAGAAGGGAACAUUUUACUUGGGGACCUCAUUUCAUUCCUUGCACCAUGGCUCAAUACAAAUAGUCCCAUGACCCGCAGGGCAUGGGGAGUUUUUAAUUCAGCAGUGGGUUUACAAUUACAUUCUCACAGUGAGAAUGUAAUUGUUUUAUAUUUUUAUUAUUUUAUUGUUUCCCUUCUACGUGACUUUACCAAAAGAACCACGAAAGCUUUAAAUUAAAAGAGUUGUGCAUGUAUUGUGUUCAUAUGGUCAGCAGGCUGUGUCGGGUAAUUCCAAACGACUGUCACAUCAGUGGCAUGUAUUCCUGUGUGACCGAAAUUGCAUUUUUCUUCCAGGUUUGGCGGUGCAGUGAGCCAUUCCCAAGUUUUCCUAAUCUGCCAAGUGCUUGUGAUGGCUGCGAUGCCUGCUUGUGCUCACCUUGUAGAAGAGGCACGAGCCCAAGAUUGUGUACAGUCUCCGCAUGGAAUAAUAAUCUUCUGACUGAAAAAAACACGGCAAAUUGUUGACCCUCAAGCAAAUAAUUAAUGAUCCUGAAUUUGUAUUGCAGGACUUACACAGAAACCAGUAACGUGCAGACACAAGUACAGGUAUUACAGCCUCAGCUGCCAUAAACUGAGGUUAAAUGUUCAUUGCUGUUCUAAAUGAUGUUGCAGCAUACUUCUACCCUCUCAUGUGUCUUUUUACUUCCCCUCGCUGUAAACUCUGUUCCAGCAAUGAAAAUUUAUUGGCAAACCUCAGAGUCAACCUCCUAUCUGUGGAGGUUGCAAUUUAUCUACUGCUGCCCCAGAUAUAUGGAACUCCCUCCCUCUAGGCAUCCACACUGAAGACUCGUUCUUGAAGUCCAAGCUUAAGGGCUUAUUUUCAUCUUUGCCUUUGAUAAGUUGUGUGUGUAUUCAAACCUUCCCACCCAUUCCUCACAUGUCCACCUCAUUUAAUCUUCACCUAGUAUGUGUGUCCCCCACCUAUAUACAACACUAAUCUGACUGUAGAUAGUGUCUAAAUGCAAUCAUACGUGGAAA